CCUACGGGAGGCUGCAGGGGGGAAUAUUGGACAAUGGGGGCAACCCUGAUCCAGCCAUGCCGCGUGUGUGAAGAAGGCCCUCGGGUUGUAAAGCACUUUCAGUGAGGAAGAACGCCUGGUGGUUAAUACCCAUCAGGAAAGACAUCACUCACAGAAGAAGCACCGGCUAACUCCGUGCCAGCAGCCGCGGUAAUACGGAGGGUGCGAGCGUUAAUCGGAAUUACUGGGCGUAAAGCGCGCGUAGGUGGCUUGAUAAGCCGGUUGUGAAAGCCCCGGGCUCAACCUGGGAACGGCAUCCGGAACUGUCAAGCUAGAGUGCAGGAGAGGAAGGUAGAAUUCCCGGUGUAGCGGUGAAAUGCGUAGAGAUCGGGAGGAAUACCAGUGGCGAAGGCGGCCUUCUGGACUGACACUGACACUGAGGUGCGAAAGCGUGGGUAGCAAACAGGAUUAGAUACCCGAGUAGUC
rnacentral:rRNA from 1 species